rnacentral:rRNA from 1 species
GACGAACGCUGGCGGCGUGCCUAAUACAUGCAAGUCGAGCGCAGGAAACUGACGGAACUCUUCGGAGGGAAGGCAGUGGAAUGAGCGGCGGACGGGUGAGUAACACGUAAGGAACCUGCCUCAAGGAUUGGGAUAACUCCGAGAGAUCGGAGCUAAUACCGGAUAGUUCAACGGACCGCAUGGUCCGCUGAUGAAAGGCGCUUCGGCGUCACCUUGAGAUGGCCUUGCGGUGCAUUAGCUAGUUGGUGGGGUAACGGCCCACCAAGGUGACGAUGCAUAGCCGACCUGGGAGGGUGAUCGGCCAAACUGGGACUGCGACACGGCCCAGACUCCUACGGGAGGCAGCAGUAGGGAAUCUUCCACAAUGGACGAAAGUCUGAUGGAGCAACGCCGCGUGAGUGAUGAAGGUUUUCGGAUCGUAAAACUCUGUUGUAAGGGAAGAACACGUACGAGAGGAAAUGCUCGUACCUUGACGGUACCUUACGAGAAAGCCACGGCUAACUACGUGCCAGCCGCCGCGGUAA